rnacentral:rRNA from 1 species
AUGAACGCUGGCGGCGUGCUUAACACAUGCAAGUCGAACGAAGCACUUUACCACGAUUCCUUCGGGAUGACGGUUUAGUGACUGAGUGGCGGACGGGUGAGUAACGCGUGGGGAACCUGCCCCAUACCGGGGGAUAACAGCCGGAAACGGCUGCUAAUACCGCAUAAGCGCACAGUACCGCAUGGUACGGUGUGAAAAACUCCGGUGGUAUGGGAUGGACCCGCGUCUGAUUAGCCAGUUGGCGGGGUAACGGCCCACCAAAGCGACGAUCAGUAGCCGGCCUGAGAGGGCGACCGGCCACAUUGGGACUGAGACACGGCCCAGACUCCUACGGGAGGCAGCAGUGGGGAAUAUUGCACAAUGGGGGAAACCCUGAUGCAGCGACGCCGCGUGAGUGAGGAAGUAUUUCGGUAUGUAAAGCUCUAUCAGCAGGGAAGAAGAAAUGACGGUACCUGACUAAGAAGCCCCGGCUAACUACGUGCCAGCAGCCGCGGUAAUACGUAGGGGGCAAGCGUUAUCCGGAUUUACUGGGUGUAAAGGGAGCGCAGGCGGCAUGAUAAGUCUGAUGUGAAAACCCAAGGCUCAACCAUGGGACUGCAUUGGAAACUGUCGUGCUGGAGUGUCGGAGAGGUAAGCGGAAUUCCUAGUGUAGCGGUGAAAUGCGUAGAUAUUAGGAGGAACACCAGUGGCGAAGGCGGCUUACUGGACGAUGACUGACGUUGAGGCUCGAAAGCGUGGGGAGCAAACAGGAUUAGAUACCCUGGUAGUCCACGCAGUAAACGAUGGACACUAUCUGUUCGGGUCGAGAGAGAUCUGAGUGGCACAGCGAAAGCGUUAAGUGUCCCACCUGGGGAGUACGCCGGCAACGGUGAAACUCAAAGGAAUUGACGGGGGCCCGCACAAGCAGUGGAGUAUGUGGUUUAAUUCGAAGCAACGCGAAGAACCUUACCAGGUCUUGACAUCGAUCUAAAGGCUCCAGAGAUGGAGAGAUAGCUAUAGAGAAGACAGGUGGUGCAUGGUUGUCGUCAGCUCGUGUCGUGAGAUGUUGGGUUAAGUCCCGCAACGAGCGCAACCCUUAUCCUUAGUAGCCAGCACGCAGUGGUGGGCACUCUGGGGAGACUGCCAGGGAUAACCUGGAGGAAGGUGGGGAUGACGUCAAAUCAUCAUGCCCCUUAUGUCUUGGGCUACACACGUACUACAAUGGUCGGAAACAGAGGGAAGCGAAGCCGCGAGGCAGAGCAAACCCCAGAAACCCGAUCUCAGUUCGGAUUGUAGUCUGCAACUCGACUACAUGAAGCUGGAAUCGCUAGUAAUCGCGAAUCAGAAUGUCGCGGUGAAUACGUUCCCGGGCCUUGUACACACCGCCCGUCACACCAUGAGAGUUGGGGAUACCCGAAGCCUGUGAGCCAACAGUUAAAUGGGGCAGCAGUCGAAGGUAGAAUCAAUGAUUGGGGUG